GUCACACUAGCCACUCGGCGAACAUGCUCGUCCCCUAAGAAGUGAAAACAAGAUUCACCAAAGGAAGAUCUGUCACAAGGAAGCCAUUCGAUUGGCUGCUAAGUGGUCACCAGGCAAUAAGCAUUACAGGAAUCAAGAGGGAAAAUCCAUUUUGACUCAUUAGUGAGCAAAUGGAAUCGUCUACAUAGAGCUUUGGCUUUUCAAGCCAGAAAGGGUCUCAGCUCUCAGUUAACCUAGGAAUUGUGACAUCACAAAGACAAGGUCUAAAUGACUGAAAAGAUAAAGACCUGGCCGGUAUUGGGGCAAAAACAGGACCCUCUGACCAAAAACUGGAGCGGCUGCCCUCAAUCAUCCCCUCAGAGCUGUCAGGGUAAGCCACCCCAUAACUGCUCUAAGCUUUCUGGAAGUUUAUUUAGCAACGUUCGGGAAAAAGGCAGAGCGGGUGUGUUGUCCCCAAACUCGCCUCAGAGUCCCCGAGAGAAGGAAUUUAUGAGCCGCCGCAUCUCCAGUCCCUUCCUCGACAUUUAUUGGCUCUUUGAUGAAUGUUAGAGCAAUUUUUCUGUCAACAGUUUCUCAUUAGGGGCCUGGUGGUGUUCUUCCUGACCGUUAUUAUUUUGCCUGGUGACUGUGAGGAGAAGAGGUUCCGCUUAGACACCAUCCAUCUUUGCAGCAGCAAAGAGCUCAGAUAAUCCCACUUAAAUACUCCCCCUGUGCUGACAGCCACCCCAGGGCACGCACAGAGAAUUGAGACAAAUGGCCAGGCCUUAACGAAUGGCUCCUCUUCUGGCAUCAUGCCUCUCCGUUCCUCUCAACACAUAUUUCAAGUUUGAUUCUGUUUCUUUUUAAAAUAAAUUAUGGAGAACUUGCUGGUGAAAUAAUCACCAGGACUUACUUCUUAGAGACGACAGUUCUUACUAGGGAUAACAAGGCUUCCUUGGAAAAAUCUGGAACCAGCAGGUGUUGGAAGAUGGUGGCCCGUUUCCUUGACAGACUGUUUAUUUCACUCCUCAAAUGCGCUGUCCCAACACAGUGACGGCAUAGGAGAGCACUGGGGGACGUCUGAAGUUGCUGCCAUUCAUUAGCAUCGAUUUCAACCUUCAGACGCCCUCCUCCACCUUCCCUCCCACCAGGUCCCUGCUCCUCCCCCACCUAGUCUAGUCUGAAGAGAAUCCCAGAGUCGCCUCAUUAGAACAACAGACGCUCCCAUCACCCAAGAAAUUCCAAGGGACUUAGGAGCCCUGUGUCAGGAACCCGGUCAAAGACCAAACAUCAGAACAAAAGAUGCUCCUAGUGCUCCUGUCACUUAGGAAAUGACAAGGAUCUCAGGAGCCCUGUGCCUGCAGCCAAGCAGAGACCAAUACUGAGAUUUCCUCUUCUCUCAUGACAACACACCCAUGCGCGUCCCUCCUUGGCCUCACAGUCCGGCUCCUGCUCCCUGAAAUCACUUUCCAAAAUGAGCGGCCUGCCUGCAAGCCUGAGGCUCAGGCUCACCAUCUCAGGGACCCCGGGCUAAGAUGCCAACCCAGGAAGGGCCAAAGGGACCUCCAGGAAGGACGACGAAGGGCAGCCCCAGCGUGCCGGCUGGGCAGGAGGCCUGGAGGGUAAUCAGCCGAGAGGGAGGAGAACAGAGACUCAGGAGGGGUGUGUCCAGGAGGGAAGCUGAAGCUCACAGACUUGACGUGGGACGGGACGGACCGCAUGAGAAGCCGUCCUGAGAGGCCAGGAGGAGGGGACUGGAAGAGCACGUCCCUGUUUACGUGGAAUCGGAGGUCAUCCCCACUGUCAGACGGCAGCUCCUGGGGUAAACGCACGACUGUAGAGGGAAAGUUGGUAACAUGGAUCAACACCCUUAAAAAAAUGGCCAAACCCUGCACCCUCACGAAAGAAUCUGAAAUGGAGAACUUUAUGAAAAACUGUGAAGCAGCAUGUUAUUUAUACCAGCAUUAAAAAAAACAAGAAGCAGAAUUGCCUUGAGUCCAACCCAAGUGCAGUAAUUCCAGGACAUCUGCUGGAAGGAGGAUCAUGAAGCCAUGAAGUGACAGGCUCAACGCCAGCUGGGAGCCCACAUUGUCCAGAAGGAGGACGGGAGCGGGAGACGGGGAGAUCCUAACUAAAUCUGCAGCUUGGUUGACAGUAGUGCGCCACUGUUCAUUUCUUAGUCGUGGUGACUAUGGUGGUGUGAGGGGUUCACAGAGGAAGCUGCAUGAAGGAGAUGGGGGAACUCCAUACCAACAUUGCAACUCUCCUGUAAAUCUAGAACUCUUUCCAAAUACAGUUUUAAGUGAUAUGUGUCUGUAUUUGGGUUCUCCAGAGAACCAGAACCAGUAGGAUGGAUGGAUGGAUAGAUUAGAUAGAUAGAUAUAGAUAGAUAGAUAGAUAGAUAGAUAGAUAGAUAGGUGAUUGAUAGAUAUCUCUAGAAAGAGAUUUAUUACAAGGAAUUGGCUCAUGCAAUUGUGGAGGCUGAGAAGUCCUAUGAUCUGCAGUUGGCAAGCUGGAGGCCCAAGAAAGCCAGAGAGCCGGUGGUGUGGACUCCAGGCCGAGUCUGCAGAGAGAACAGGAGAAGACUGCUGUGCCCGUCACGCAGUCAGGCAGAGAGAGAGAGGCUGAAUCCUCCUUUGCUCCCCCUUUUGGUUCUGUUCAGCCCUCAGCGCACUGGAUGAGGCCCACCUACCCUGGGGAGCGCCACCUGCUUUCCUCAAUGCACCACUUCAAAUGCUGAUCUCUUGUGGAAACACCCCCAUGGGCAUACCCAGAAAUCAUGUUUACCCAGAUGCCUGGGCAUCCAGUGAUCCAGUCAAGUGCACACGUAGAAUUAACCGUCACAGUAUCCAGGCGGCCCAGUGUUUCGUUGGUUCGGAUCCUGGGCGCGGACAUGGCACUGCUCGUCAGACCACGCUGAGGCAGUGUCCCACAUGCCACGACUAGAAGGACC
ensembl:lncRNA